GCGGAAGUGGCUCAGUGGUAGAGCAUCGCCUUGCCAAGGCGAGGGUCGCGGGUUCGAAU
rnacentral:tRNA from 1 species